rnacentral:rRNA from 1 species
GAUGAACGCUGGCGGCGUGCCUAACACAUGCAAGUCGAGCGAGAAGCUCAUCACAGAUGCUUCGGUUGAAGUGAUGAGUGGAAAGCGGCGGACGGGUGAGUAACGCGUAGGCAACCUGCCCUUUGCAGAGGGAUAGCCUCGGGAAACCGGGAUUAAAACCUCAUGACACCUCUUAAAGACAUCUUUGAGAGGUCAAAGAUUUAUCGGCAGAGGAUGGGCCUGCGUCUGAUUAGCUAGUUGGUGGGGUAACGGCCUACCAAGGCGACGAUCAGUAGCCGACCUGAGAGGGUGAUCGGCCACAUUGGACCUGAGACACGGUCCAAACUCCUACGGGAGGCAGCAGUGGGGAAUAUUGCGCAAUGGGGGAAACCCUGAUGCAGCAACGCCGCGUGAAGGAAGAAGGCCUUUGGGUCGUAAACUUCUGUUCUAAGGGAAGAUGAUGACGGUACCUUAGGAGCAAGUCCCGGCUAACUACGUGCCAGCCGCCGCGGUAAGAC